UGCCAGCAGCCGCGGUUAAACCAAGAAACUUAGUCAUUCUCUACGGUAAAAAGACAGUUAGGCAGGAGGCCAAAGCCACUAGACCGCCAGUAUAGGAGUAAAAUCUAGAUACUUGCAGUUACACCGAAAAUGGUUUAUUUAAAAUGUUGAGGCUGUGAAAGCUUUAAGGGAAACUGGGAUUGGAUACCCCAUUAUUUUUAGCUAUAAAUUUAUUGUUUAUAUACCAGAGUACUACGAAUAAAAAGUUUAAAACUCAAAGGGCUUGGCGGUGUUUUAGACCUCUCAGGGGAACCUGUCUCAUAAUCGACAAUCCGCGUUAAACCUAACCUUUUAUAGUAAUUCAGCUUGUAUACCGUCGUCGUCAGGUAACUUCUUAAAAUAGAGUAGUUAGCUAGAAAAUUUUAUUAAUUAAAACGUCAGAUCAAGGUGCAGCUAAUGAAAAGGGGAGGAUGGGUUACAAUUAUAAACUUAUAAUUACGGAGAGAGCUUGAAAUAAAGCGAUAUAAAGGAGGACUUGAAAGUAAUUUUAAUUACAUAAAUAAAAUGAAUGCGGCUCUGAAACGUGCACACAUCGCCCGCCACUCU
rnacentral:rRNA from 1 species